AGUGAACGCUGGCGGUAGGCCUAACACAUGCAAGUCGAACGGCAGCACAGGAGAGCUUGCUCUCUGGGUGGCGAGUGGCAGACGGGUGAGGAAUACAUCGGAAUCUACUCUGUCGUGGGGGAUAACGUAGGGAAAUUUACGCUAAUACCGCAUACGACCUACGGGUGAAAGCAGGGGACCUUCGGGCCUUGCGCGAUUGAAUGAGCCGAUGUCGGAUUAGCUAGUUGGCGGGGUAAAGGCCCACCAAGGCGACGGUCCGUAGCUGUCUGAGAGGCGGAUCAGCCACACUGGAACUGAGACACGGUCCAGACUCCUACGGGAGGCAGCAGUGGGGAAUAUUGGACAAUGGGCGCAAGCCUGAUCCAGCCAUACCGCGUGGGUGAAGAAGGCCUUCGGGUUGUAAAGCCCUUUUGUUGGGAAAGAAAUCCAGCUGGCUAAUACCCGGUUGGGAUGACGGUACCCAAAGAAUAAGCACCGGCUAACUUCGUGCCAGCAGCCGCAGUAA
rnacentral:rRNA from 1 species